rnacentral:pre_miRNA from 1 species
UGUAUACUCCCUCCAUCCCAAAAUACUUGUCGGAGAAAUGAUUAAAAAUAGAUGUAUCUACAACUAAAAUACAUCUAGAUACAUCCACUUGUCCGACAAGUAUUUCCGGACGGAGGGAGUACUAU